CGGGAUGUAGCUCAGUUUGGUAGAGCGCUUGGUUUGGGACCUGGGGAUUGCAUGUUCAAAUCGUGUUGUCCCAA
rnacentral:tRNA from 1 species